AAGACAAAGGGUUUCGGGAACAAUUACGCGUUUAAUAUCACCACGUCUGUAAUAAAAAGCGGCGAGCUAUGGUACGAAAUUAGCCUUUCAUUCAGAAGUCAACAAAAUGAAUAAGUCAGCGCUUUUUCUUUUGCUUCUCAUCGGACUCCUCGUCCUCGCCGAAACAAAAGCGGAUUCCGAACGACGUCGCCGCCAUUACCCUCACAAAGGACCACGUCGUCGAUGGCAUUGGAACCAAGGGAAAUCAGUAAACAUUGAAGACCUGAGUGAAAGUCUUGAGCUAGCUGAAGAUCUUCAAUAAACCAACCGAUGUUAUAAAUACAGUUCGCUGGUUUCAAUAAACCAUCGUCAAUAUA